AGCGCCGUUGAUACUGUGAGGCUAGGAUUUGGUUGCUGUGGGCGGAAUGUGUGGUGUAGCGGUGAAAUGCUUAGAGAUCACACAGAAUAUCGAUUGCGAAGGCAGCUCACAAAGCCAAGAUUGACGCUGAGGCACGAAAGUGUGGGGAUCAAACAGGAUUAGAUACCCUGGUAGUCCACACUGUAAACGAUGAUAACUCGCUGUCGGCGAUAGACCGUCGGUGGCCAAGCGAAAGCGAUAAGUUAUCCACCUGGGGAGUACGACCGCAAGGUUGAAACUCAAAGGAAUUGACGGGGGCCCGCACAAGCGGAGGAACAUGUGGUUUAAUUCGAUGAUACGCGAGGAACCUUACCCGGGCUCGAACGGUGCAUGAAUGUCAGAGAGAUUUGACAGUCCUUCGGGACAUGUAUCGAGGUGCUGCAUGGUUGUCGUCAGCUCGUGCCGUGAGGUGUCGGCUUAAGUGCCAUAACGAGCGCAACCCUUGUUGACAGUUACCAUCAGGUAAAGCUGGGGACUCUGUCGAGACUGCCACCGUAAGGUGUGAGGAAUGGGGGGAUGACGUCAAAUCAGCACUGCCCUUACGUUCAGAGCGACACACGUGUUACAAUGGCAGGUACAGAGGGCGGCCAGGCAGCGAUGCCGCGCAAAUCUCGAAAGCCUGUCUCAGUUCGGAUUGGAGUCUGCAACUCGA
rnacentral:rRNA from 1 species